rnacentral:rRNA from 1 species
GCAAGUCGAGGGGUAACGGAGAAGCUUGCUUUUGCCGACGACCGGCGCACGGGUGCGGAACGCGUAUGGAACCUAACACAGUCAGGGGAAUAGCCCAGAGAAAUUUGGUUUAAUGGCACAUAGUAUUAUUGUGACACAUGUUACAAUAAUUAAAGAUUUAUCGGACAGUGAUGGCCAUGCGUACCAUUAGUUAGUUGGUAAGGUAACGGCUUACCAAGACAGCGAUGAGUAGGUGCCCUGAGAGGGGGAUC